CGCAACGAGCGCAACCCUUUUCCUUAUUUGCCAGCGGGUAAUGCCGGGAACUUUAAGGAUACUGCCAGUGACAAACUGGAGGAAGGCGGGGACGACGUCAAGUCAUCAUGGCCCUUACGGCCAGGGCUACACACGUGCUACAAUGGUCGGUACAAAGGGUUGCUACCUCGCGAGAGGAUGCUAAUCUCAAAAAGCCGAUCGUAGUCCGGAUCGCAGUCUGCAACUCGACUGCGUGAAGUCGGAAUCGCUAGUAAUCGCGGAUCAGAAUGCCGCGGUGAAUACGUUCCCGGGCCUUGUACACACCGCCCGUCACACCAUGGGAGUUUGUUGCACCAGAAGUAGGUAGUCUAACC
rnacentral:rRNA from 1 species